ACGUGGAAAGUUGAAUCUAGAAACAAGCAAUUGAAGCUCGCUCAGCCACUUCAACCGUCUUCUCCGAAUGAAUCCAGGUCGAAAAUUGUAACCCCAAGCUAUUCUUUGCCUCCAUAUCCACCCUUCACUGCAGAAUUCGGCAAGUACUCCGAUACGGUACCAAACCCACUGUGCGAACCAGAGCCGGAGCCACGUGGCACCUUGAAAAGAUACUAAAAGGAGAGCUUCACAUUGCAUCUAUUGCAGUCAAAAAGUAACCACCAAAUUUACCCCAAAAAAAAAAAAAAUCAAAAGACAAAUAACUACCAACCCACUCUCUCAGCACACUCACCAACCGCCAACAUGUCGACCACCGCACCGUCGCCAUCACCUUCACCACCACAACCGGCGGUCCUAAUCCCGUCCCUUCCAGACAACGUCGCUUUGAACUGCCUGGCUCGGAUCCCACGUUGGCACCACACGAGGCUCUCCGUCGUGUCGAAGCCAAUUCGGUCGCUUCUCUCUUCCCCUCUGUAUUUCACCACUCGCUCUCUCCUCAACUGCACCCAAACUCUUCUCUACCUCGCCGUCCGGUUGCCGCACCACCGCAACUCCUCCACCUGGUUCGCACUCUAUCAAAACCCCAACCCCAACCCAAAUCCCAAUUCCACCGCCAUUAACACAGCCAGCAACAAUCUUCUCGUCCCCGUCCCACCCAUUCCCGAACCUUCAAUCGGCUCCGCCUACGCCGUCCUUGGCUCCAAGAUCUACGUCAUCGGCGGCUCAAUCAACGACGUUCCAUCUUCCCACGUGUGGAUUCUCGACUGCCGCUUCCACACGUGGGAGCUCGGCCCAAGCAUGCGCGUGGGCCGCGAGUUUGCCGCCGCCGGAGUCGUUGACGGGAAAAUUUAUGUGAUGGGUGGGUGCGUGGUGGACUCCUGGGCCAGAGCUACCCAUUGGACCGAAGUGUUCGACCCGAUCGCGGGACGGUGGGAGGCGGUGCCGAGUCCCGUGGAGAUCAGGGAGAAGUGGAUGCAUGCGAGUGCCGUAGUGGGUGGGAGAAUCUAUGCCAUGGCGGACAGAGGAGGGGUGGUAUACGACCCGAGAGAGAAGGUUUGGGAAGGUGUGGGGAGCGAGAUGGACUUGGGGUGGAGAGGGAGGGCUUGUGUGGUGGAUGGUGUGUUGUAUUGCUAUGAUUACUUGGGGAAGAUUAGAGGGUUCGAUGUGGUGAAGGACGUGUGGAAGGAGCUCAAGGGUGUGGAUAAAGGGUUGCCCAAGUUUUUGUGUGGGGCGACCAUGGCCAAUGUGGGUGGGAGGUUGGUUGUGGUGUGGGAAGCCAAGGGUGGCGGAAAUGGGAAUAGGAAUGGGAAUGGGAAUGUGAAAGGGAAGGAAAUCGAGAUUUGGUGUGCUGAAAUUGAGGUGGCGGAGAAGGAGGGUGGGGAUCUGUGGGGGGAAAUUCAUUGGUCCGAGAAGGUUCUUUUGGUACCCAGUGGAUCUUCCAUUGUCCAUUGCGUUGCUGUUUCUUUGUGACAGCUUGGAGGAGCAAAAGGCACUCUCUGGGUUUGAAAAACUUUCUAACUUUAAACGGUUGAAGUUGUGAGGAGUUUCUUUUGCAAGGCCAUCUGUACAUAAUAAUCAUUAUUGCUAAUGUUAUCUUUGUUUCAAAAUAUCCCUUUCCCGUCAGGAUGUAACCGGGAGUCGGGGAGGAAACUUUACAUCGAGCACCACCAGCUCAGGCUCACAGCAUUAAGCUGCACCUUGGUCAGAGGCCUAUUGUAGAUUUGCAGAGUUCAAGCAAGAAAACAACUUGAAAAUCAUGUUGGAGAACUUGCUGAAAUUCGAAGCAGAUAUUGUUCAUUGUGUUGUAUCUAGAUCAUAUUAUCUUUUUUUGCUAGGCUUGUGGAUUGUGUAACCACAUAUUGAAUAAUUUAUGAUCAGUUAUAAGUUGAAUAACUUAUAAUCAAUGUUCUGUAAAGAAUAAUAAUUCGAAUGUAGUUUCUUGAACAAGUGUAAAUUUGGUGGUUUUUGGAACAUAAAUUAUUGUUAAUAAAUGGAAUGUAAAUCUUGGGUUA